CCUGCCCCGCCUUAACUGAUGACAUUCCACCAUUGUGAUUUGUUCCUGCCCCACCUUAGCUGAGUGAUUAACCCUGUGAAUUUCCUUCUCCUGGCUCAGAAGCUCCCCGACUGAGCACCUUGUGACCCCCGCCCCUGCCCACCAGAGAACAACCCCCUUUGACUGUAAUUUUCCAUUACCUUCCCAAAUCCUAUAAAACGGCCCCACCCCUAUCUCCCUUCGCUGACUCUCUUUUCGGACUCAGCCCGCCUGCACCCAGGUGAAAUAGACAGCCAUGUUGCUCACACAAAGCCUGUUUGCUGGUCUCUUCACACUGACUCGAGUGAAAUUUGGUGCCGUGACUAGGAUCGGGGGACCUCCCUUGGGAGAUCAAUCCCCCGUCCUCCUACACUUUGCUCUGUGAGAAAGAUCCACCUACAACCUCAGGUCCUCAGACCAACCAGCCCAAGAAACAUCUCACCAAUUUCAAAUCCGGUAAGCGGCCUCUUUUUACUCUUUUCUCCAGCUUCCCUCACUGUCCCUCAACCUCUUUCUCCUUUCAAUCUUGGUGCCACACUUCAAUCUCUCCCUUCUCUUAAUUUCAAUUCCUUUCAUUUUCUGGUAGAGACAAAGGAGACACGUUUUAUCCGUGGACCCAAAACUCCGGCGCCAGUCACGGACUGGGAAGGCAGCCUUCCCUUGGUGUUAAAUCACUGCAGGGACGCCUCUCUGAUUAUUCACCCAUGUUUCAAAGGUGUCAGACCACGCAGGGACGCCUGCCUUGGUCCUUCACCCUUAGUGGCAAGUCCUGCUUUUCUGGGGAAGGGGCAAGUACCCCAACCCCUUCUCUCUGUGUCUCUACCCCUUCUCUGCUUUUCUGGGGGAGGGGCAAGUACCCCUCAACCCCUUCUCCUUCACCCUUAGUGACAAGUCCUGCUUUUCUAGGAGGCAAGAACCCCCAAUCCCUUAUUUCCACACCCUGACCUCUUAUCUCUGUGCCCCAAUCCCUUAUUUCCACACCCCAACCUCUUAUCUCUGUGCCCCAAUCCCUUAUUUCCGUGCCCCAACCCCCCUUCCCACUUUUCUGGAGGAUAAGAACCCCCGAACCCCUUCCCUCCGUGUCUCUAUGCUCUCUUUUCUCUGGGUUUGCCUCCUUCACUAUGGGCAACCUUCCACCUACCAUUCCUCCUUCUUCUCCUUUAGCCUAUAUUCUUAAGAAUUUAAAACCUCUUCAACUCUCACCUGACCUAAAAUCUAAGCAUCUUAUUUUCUUCUGCAAUGCCACUUGACCCCAAUACAAACUUGACAGUAGUUCCAAAUAGCCAGAAAAUGGCACUUCCAAUUUUUCCAUCCUACAAGAUCUAAAUAAUUCUUUUCGUAAAAUGGGCAAAUGGUCUGAGGUGCCUGACAUCCAGGCAUUCUUUUACACAAUAGUCCCUUCCUAGUCUCUGUGCCCAGUGCAACUUCUCCCAAAUCUUCCUUCUUUCCCUCCUGCCUGUCCCCUCAGUCCCAACCCCAAGCAUCGCUGAGUCUUUCUAAUCUUCCUUUUCUACAGACCCAUCUGACCUCUCCCCUCCUUGCCAGGCCAAGCUACGUCCCAAUUCUUCCUCAGCCUCCGCUCCUCCACCCUGCAAUCUUUUUAUCACCUCCCCUCCUCACACCUGGUCCUGCUUACAGUUUCAUUCUGUGACUAGCCCUCCCCCACCUGCCCAGCAAUUUACUCUUAAAAAAGUGGCUGGAGCCAAAGGCAUAGUCAAGGUUAAUGCUCCUUUUUCUUUAUGCCAAAUCAGAAGUGUUUAGGCUCUUUUUCAUCAAAUAUAAAAACCCAGCCCAGUUCAUGGCUCGUUUGGCAGCAACCCUGAGACGCUUCACAGCCCUAGACCCUAAAAGGUCAAAAGGCCAUCUUAUUCUCAAUAUACAUUUUAUUACCCAAUCUGCUCCUAACAUUAAAUAAAACCCCAAAAAUUGGAAUCUGGUCCUCAAACCCCACAACAGGACUUAAUUAACCUCACCUUCAAGGUGUACAAUAAUAAAAAAAAGUUGCAAUUCCUUGCCUCCACUGUGAGACAAAGCCCAGCCACAUCUCCAGCACACAAGAACUUCCAAACCCCUGAACUGCAGCAGUCAGGCAUUCCUCCAGAACCUCCUCCCCCAGGAGCUUGCUACAAGUGCCAGAAAUCUGACCACCAGGCCAAGGACUGCCGGCAGCCCAGGAUUCCUCCUAAGCCACGUCCCAUCUGUGUGGGACCCCACUGCAAAUCGGACUGUUCAACUCACCUGGCAGCCACUCCCAGAGCCCCUGGAACUCUGGCCCAAGGCUCUCUGACUGACUCCUUCCCAGAUCUUCUCGGCUUAGCGGCUGAAGACUGACACUGCCCGAUUGCCUCGGAAGCCCCCUAGACCAUCAUGGACGCCGAGCUUCAGUGAUAGAUCACAACAAGAGAUCAUGAAGAGGGCAUGGCCGCCAUGUCAUUCUGGAGAGAGACAGAGUAAAACAAAGAAGGUGAUGGGCAAUAACCAGACACGGGACUGAGGCCAUCCAUGACCAGCCAGCCCUAGCCAACACACAACACACAAGCUGAUCACAGAUGCAUGAGUAAGCCUGAGACCAGCCAAGACCAGCCUAGAAUAGAACUGCUCAGCAGCAAUAAAAACUAAAUAAAUUGUUACCUUAAGCUACUUUUAGAGCUAUUUGGAAGUGUAUUUUUGUGCAGCUAACAUUUACUAGCAGAUAAAAUGGUGAUUGUUUAUCUCUGUUUUAUUGAUGUUUUAAGGAAAUUGUUUCUAUUAAAAGGAAAUAUCUGGUCUUUGUCACGUUAAAUCAGGUUUAGCCUGAAGUUGUCUCCUUAAAUUUGCGGCACAACUCCCACCCUGCAAUACUUCAAAUUGUUUCACCUUUUUUGACAGAACCAAGGUAUAUCUUAAAUGUACUUGAUUGAUGUCUCAUGUCUCCCUAAAAUGUAUAAAACCAAACUGUGCUCUGACUACCUUGGGUACAUGUUCUGAGGGUCUCCUGAAGGCUGUGUCACAGGCCAUGGUCUUUCAUAUUUGGCUUAAAACAAAUCUCUUCAAAUAUUUUAUGUAGUUUGACUCUUUUCCUCAAUAGAACUCAUCAUUUAACCAGUUAAGUAUUUUGAGUUAGUUUGGGAUUAAACACGAGAGUUUUGACAGGGAGCUGAAACAAUAGUAGUUUCAUCAAAAGUUGAUUCUUGGUGCAUGUAAUUUUCUAUUACAGUGAACACAGAUAAUAAUGAUGCAUAUGUCUUUACCUAGAUUAGAGAAAGGAAGAGAAAAAAUAAAAAUUUUGGAAAUGAGAUAAAAAGAUAUUGAUCUCACUGAUGUUUCUGAAUCUAAGACUGAACUCAAUUAUUAGUUGUAUUUACUGCUUAUUAGAUUUACUAAGAAAGUUCUUUAAGGUACUUACAGCCCUAAAAUUAUUUGCAAUAUUCAAUAGCAAGGGACUUAAAUACAGUCCUGAUUACUCCAUCACAAAAUGCCAAAAACAAUUAGGAUCUUAAAGGAACUACCCAAAUAGGUUUAAGAUAUCACUCAGGCCAUAAAAAUGUUUUUAAAAUUCACAUCACAAAAUAGCCAAAUGACAUAUCAGAAACAAAAGCAAAAAAGUCAUCCUAAUUCAAGGCAAUUACUUUAGCAAUUCAAAAUAAAAUGUUAAAAGUGACCAAAAAACAAAUGCAAAAUAUUUUAAUGACUUUAAAUGGCUGUAUAAUUUCCUCAUCACUUCACUUGGCAGAGUUAAGAUGGCAUUUAACCUAAGUUCACAUCAUUAAAAAAAACACUGCACCAUGAUGCUUUUCUUAAUAUGCAUUCUCAAAUUAGCAUACAGAGAAAAAUGAAACUAUAGUAGAGACGUAAAUUUAAUCCCUAUUUAGGUCACUAGGCAUUUAUUAGCCCCACCACAGGUUAAUACACUUGCAUUUGCAUCUGUUUCUAAAUGCUAAUUAUCUGACCUCAGAACACUCACUUAUGGGCUUCAUUUAUUGAAAAACAAAUCCCUAUGAUUUGAUCGUAGAGUAACUUUUAAUGUCUAACUUUACGUAGUAUAUUACAGUUUUCAAAACAUUUUUAUAAAAAGUAUUUUGUUUAUUUACAGCAACUAUAUAUCAUAGAUAUUAAUGUGUAUAUUUUGCAUUUAAGCAAGUUGGAGUUCGUAAGGUUGAAUUACUUGAAAUGUACAAAUAGAUAGUAGUGAAUAUUUAAAGUACAUUUUUAAAAAUAUGACCCAGAAAAAUAGGUGGCAUUUAAGAAAUAUAAGCAUGGUAUCUAUCUUACAUGUAUAUUAGGAGUGGACAGUUUUCUAAGAUUAGAAGCAAACAGUUGUCAAGCAAGGGUUCUAAUUUUUGUAAGUCUUGUGGGAAAGAAAGAUAAUAGAGGGUUUCAUUGCAAAGAUAUAAAACUACUCUAGAUAAUUUAAGCAAAAACUAAUCUAAUAAAUUGGGUUUUCCAAAUUAUUGAAACACCUUGAGAACUAGUGCCUGGGUAGGCCUGGAGAAAUGACUCCAGGAACAGCAUUACAGAACUCACCUGCCCAGUGGUAACAGUGCCCAGAUUGCUCUUCUCCAUUAUCCAGCCAGAGUUCCAGAUCAGCCUGAAUACUUCACCUCUGGGAAGACUUUGCAGAACCUCCAGAUUUAUGCCACCUCUAUAACCUGUGUAAUAUUAUUACAAUGCAUAUUAUGUUCUAUUUCACUUACAGUCAGCCCUCCUUAUCUGUGGGUUCCACAAACAUGGAUUCAACCCACAGUAAAAUGAAAAUAUUUGGGGAAAAAAUUAAUGUUUGAGUCUGUAUUGAACACGUAGACUUUUUCUUGUCACUGUUCCCUAAACAAUACAGUAUAACAACUAUUUACAUAGUAUUUACAUUAUAUUGGGCAUUAUAAGUAAUUAAAGAUGAUUUAAGUAUAUGGAAAGAUGUAUAUAGGUUAUAUGCAAGUACUGUGCCAUUUUAUAUAAAGCACUUGAACAUCACAGAUUUUGGUAUCAAUGAGGGGUGCUGAAACCAAUUGCCCAUGGAUACCAAGAGACAGCUAUAUUUGUUUCAAUGUGUACCUCUCCUUCUAAACUCAGUUCUUAAGCAUAUAGUAUCUUUAUAGCUAUACACCUAGUGUCUAUCAGACCCUAAACUAUGGUAGGCCCUCAAUACAUUUUAUUGUUAUAGGUAGAUAGAUAGGCAUGAGUAGGGCAGGAGAGGGCUCUCCCUCCACCCACUAGAAAUGUCAAGUGAUGUUUUAAAAAUUGUCACACUGCCUCUCAGAAAAUGAUAAUUCAGCAACCGGGGAGAGACAAUCUUCUGAUGGUCCACACCUAUUAACAUUAAAGUGUUAUUAAAGGCAGACCCCAGAAAGAAGAAACUUACUGGGCAUGCACAUUAAGAGAUAAAAACGGCAAAAUAUUAUCUUCCACGUACCCACAACUGGAAAAAAGGAAGAAAGCUUCAGGUGGGCAUAUGUACUCUUCCUAAACACACUGCGCAUGCUCACUUCCCAACUGUAGAGAGGGCUCUGCACAUACGGGAAGAAUCUCGGGAAAGAGGUGAACCUAUAAAAGGCCAAGAAUCAUGGUUGAACGGGACAUUUGACCUUCUCUCUUAAACCUUCAUGUGCCUGCUUGGGUCUCUUCCAACUGCACCUUCCUUUCUUUCCUGUUCUAAGGCCUUUUUAAAUAAACUUCCACUCAUGCUCUG
rnacentral:lncRNA from 1 species